rnacentral:rRNA from 1 species
UACGUAGGGGGCUAGCGUUGUCCGGAAUCAUUGGGCGUAAAGAGCGUGUAGGCGGUCCGGUAAGUCCGCUGUGAAAGUCGGGGGCUCAACCCUCGAAUGCCGGUGGAUACUGUCGGGCUAGAGUCCGGAAGAGGCGAGUGGAAUUCCUGGUGUAGCGGUGGAAUGCGCAGAUAUCAGGAGGAACACCAACGGCGAAGGCAGCUCGCUAGGACGGUACUGACGCUGAGACGCGAAAGCGUGGGGAGCAAACAGG